rnacentral:rRNA from 1 species
GGAAGUAAAAGUCGUAACAAGGUCUCCGUUGGUGACCCAGCGGAGGGAUCAUUACCGAGUUUACAACUCCCAAACCCAAUGUGAACCAUACCAAACUGUUGCCUCGGCGGGGUCACGCCCCGGGUGCGUCGCAGCCCCGGAACCAGGCGCCCGCCGGAGGGACCAACCAAACUCUUUCUGUAGUCCCCUCGCGGACGUUAUUUCUUACAGCUCUGAGCAAAAAUUCAAAAUGAAUCAAAACUUUCAACAACGGAUCUCUUGGUUCUGGCAUCGAUGAAGAACGCAGCGAAAUGCGAUAAGUAAUGUGAAUUGCAGAAUUCAGUGAAUCAUCGAAUCUUUGAACGCACAUUGCGCCCGCCAGUAUUCUGGCGGGCAUGCCUGUCCGAGCGUCAUUUCAACCCUCGAACCCCUCCGGGGGGUCGGCGUUGGGGAUCGGGAACCCCUAAGACGGGAUCCCGGCCCCGAAAUACAGUGGCGGUCUCGCCGCAGCCUCUCCUGCGCAGUAGUUUGCACAACUCGCACCGGGAGCGCGGCGCGUCCACGUCCGUAAAACACCCAACUUCUGAAAUGUUGACCUCGGAUCAGGUAGGAAUACCCGCUGAACUUAAGCAUAUCAAUAAGCGGAGGA